AGCUGAUGCAGCACGCCGCGUGCGGGUUGACGGCCUUCGGGUUGUGAACCUCUUUCCCCUGUGACGAAGCGUGAGUGACGGUAAUGGGUAAAGAUCGCCUAACUCUGUCCUGCCAGCCGCCGUAAUA
rnacentral:rRNA from 1 species